GACAUGGCCUCCAGGAAGGCUUUGGUGUCAAAGGAGAAAGAUACAGGUCAAUGGAUCUCAAAUGUUUAAGGAUGGAAAGUGUUCAAGGUCUAGUUCCAGGGUAUCACUUCCUGAGAUUCUGUUUCAGGAAGCAGUGCUAGGUGGGACAGAUAACCUGGAAUCCUACUUUGUAAAAGAUGCUGGUGUUGGAAGAUGUCACUUUUGAGAAAAAGGUGUAGGGUCUCUCUAGCUUGUUGAUCUCCUUAAAGGGCUGUUGGUUCAGAACCACUAGCCACGUGGCUCUGAGUGGAACUCAGGGCAGCUUGGAUGAAGAAGCAGUGCCAGUGCCACCCAGACCUAAAUUUGAAUCCUCUGUGGCUUUGCACAAGUGUUUUCUUCUUGAAAUUCGGGUUCUUCCUUUUUAAAAGAGGAGAACCAUAUCGUCUACCUUAUGGGAUUUAAAGAAAUAAUGCACACAAGGCACUUAGCAGAGUGACAGGAGUGUAAUAAAGCAAAUAAUAAACAUUAUCUCUUGUGUUGGGGAGAGAAGGAAAUGUCGGUGAUAAGUACUCUGAGGCCAGGAAGAUGGUUUGCAGCAGGCAGAGCAACACAGAGGCUAGAUGUUGGAUCCUGGGGGUCCAGGGGCAGCAUCUGAAGAUAGAUCCUAGACUGGAAGAUGAAUAAACACAAGCUUGGGAGACACACUUUCUCAUCAUUUCAAAUGUUUCCAAAAAGUGGUUAUGAGCAGCCCAGAUGGCGCAGUUCACUGGAAAUAUAAUUGAUCCCCAAAUAGUAUUUAAGUCAAUAGUUUAAUUGAUUUUCCUCAGGUAAACUAUUAUAAGAACGUCUAAUAUGGAACCAAGUGAAAUGCAUCAAAUUCAGUGAUUUGUUCAUAUUUUCCACCCACCCUAUAUAGAAGGAGUAAUGAAUGAAGAAAAGAAUGGUCAAAGGGAGGAAAGGAACAGGGACCACAAAUCAAAUAGACUAUCAUUAAAUGAAAUCCUUUUUCUGGUAAUUCAGUUCUAUGUCAGACUGUUCUGAACCAGCUGGCUGGCUGGCAUGUGGCUGCUGCCAGGCACUCUCCCAAGAUGAAGCAUGCAGAAUAGAGGAAAUGGAACUGAUACCUCAGUUAGCUGCCUUAUUUAUUUAUUUAUUUAUUCUCUUUUUAGGGCCACACCUGUGGCAUAUCGAAGUUCCCAGGUUAGGGGUCUAAUCCGAGCUGUAGCCACCAGCCUACACCACAGCCACAGCAAUGCUAGAUCCAAGCUGCAUCUAUAGCCUACACCACAGCUCAUGGCAACACCAGAUCCUUAACCCACUGAGCAAGGCCAGGGAUUGAACCUGAGUCUUCAUGGAUGCUAGUCAGUUUAGUUACUGCUGAGCCACAAGGGAACUCCUAGAUGCCUUUCCUAAAAGACAAAGAUGAAAUGUAUUGGUGCUUGAAUGAACUAGCCAACAAGUUAAUAGCUGAGGGAUAUGGACAAGUGGGGUUGAGGUGGGAGAAGACUUCCGUAGGCAAAUCAUUUAGCCUCUUUGAGCCUUAUGUUCCUGUCUAAAUGCCCUUCUCAUCCUGGUACACUGUGAUAAGGCAGAGAUGGUGAGCCAAAUCCCAACACUUUAUUUUAUUUUUUCUCACCUGGAAAGUACCUAAUUAGGCUACCUAAGUUAUCACCAAAUACUAGCUAUUUUGAGGAAAUUUGUUUAUCAUGAACUACAAAAUUUUUACUGUAUUUUUUUUCCCUCCAUAAAUCCAAAUUUCAACUUCAGUAUGUUUUUAUCCAUGUCGUUAAUUCUCUGGGUAAAGAAUUAUAAUAGAUAGUAAUGAUAAAUAGAGAAAAUAAAAGUACUGCUUAUAGAAGACAUUAUUUUUCGAACAUCUAUCAUCUGCUAGGUAUUAUGCUUGUCAUAUUUCAUCUUUCACCCUUAUACUAACCUUGUGGUGUUCUCAUGGUCAUGUUCCAUGAGGAUUCUGAGAGGUCACUGAGACAGCAAAUAGCAUAGUUGGAAUUUGAAUCUAGGGCUUUCUAAUUCCGAAACCCGUGUUUCUACUCCUUUGAUAUAUGGUAAAUCUGCUGCACUGAGUGCAUUCAUAAUAAUCUUGUGUAGUUUGCUCUUUGAAUCAGUCUCCUAAUUUUUAUUCAGAAGUACAAUGCCAAGUAUUUUCCUGUCCUACUCCUUGACUCUCCACCUGUGAUCACUUUAGUGGAGGAUUUCUGUUCUUAUUGGCAACAUUACAGUAUUUUAUUUACUUUGAGUAAUGAGUUUAUUGACUAGUCUGAACUUGCCUGGGGCUUGUACAUGAAAGUAAUGAUUUAUUUUUUCUUCUCCAAUUAUUUGAGCUUUGUGAAAUUUCUCUUUGAGCAGAUAUCAUGAUAUUCUUGUUUUUUCUAGAUGGCAAAAAACAAAAAUACAAUCAGUUCUUUGUUAUAAAAACCUAAUCUCCAUCCAAUUUAAAACUGUUCCUCCAAUAUUAUAGGUUAGAGGUAAGCUUUUGAAAUCAGAAGACUAAGGGUGUGAUGUGUCUUUGGGAUACCAUUUCUUGUUCCCACUUCUAGGCCACUACAGAUUUGGGAGACUGGGGGCAUGGAGGAAGGAGAAGAAAAGGGGGCACAUCUUUCACAUUUAAUACUGUAGUUGUAGUUCUUCCUCCAUUACUCUUUCUCUGGUUAAUGUGCACUGGCCGGCUGAAGACCUCUGGAUGGUAGGCAUCCAUACCAGAAUUUUCAGGGGGUUCUCCGGAGUCUCCCCAUUGCACAGUCACUGAUAUAGGAGAUUCAACUACUUAGAACUCUAAAAUAUUAUCCUUGUAAACAUACUAAGCCUCCUGUUACUUGGGUCUGCUCAUUCAGCAGCCAGCCCUUAUGCUUGGAGCAUGGCAAAAUAAUGCAAACCUGGCUAUCUCCCCCUGAGUUCACUUGGCCCAUGGACAUGUGCUUGUGAGUCCCCCAUGGCUGUACCACCUCUCUUCAACACAUCUCUUUUUCACCUACAGUUCAAAUAGGUACAGGGGUGACUGGCAAGGCCACUGCCUAUGUAAAUAUCAAAGCCAGAAAUGAAAUGGCUGCAUCCCUUACUAUAGGCACUGUUCCCCAGCUUUUUUGUUUUGUUUUGUUCUUUAUUUAUUUUAAAUUUUUUUAUUGUUAUUUCUCCAAUACAAUACUUUUUCUACUGUACAGCAUGGUGACCCAUCAGAAUGGCUCUCUUGGAAGCCCCUGCACUUGUUCAGUGGUGAGAGAUGUAUCCUUAUGGGAGUAGAUGAAAAACAGGCAGCAUCACUCCCUUCCCCCCUAUAAAGGCUGCCUCACAGGUUUGGUGAUUUCCUGCUUCUCUUUUUCCAUUUCAGUCUUCCUUUUAGACUCCACUGGGGAAGGUAAGGGCACAGUUUGGGUGCCACUGGAGAGCACCAUAGCCUUUUGCCUUAGUGAGCCUUGAAGGAGAUAGUGACUCUAGUCAUUCCUUCUCCGACUUCUUUAUCCCAAUAUGGGGCCCUGCAGGUCAUAUCUGGGGUAAGAAGGAAACUUGCACCCAAUAGCCUGAUACUCAUGGGGGCAAAAAUUAAUUGAUGUAAAAUUUGAGGGAUUCUUGAUGUGGCUCAGCGGUAACAAACCUAUUAUUCUUGAGGAUGCAGGUUUGAUCCCUGGCCCCGCUCAGUGGGUUGAGGAUCUGGCAUUGCAGUGAGCUUCAGUGUAGGUUGCAGAUGAGGCUUGGAUCUGGGAUUGCUGUGGCUAUGGCAUAGGCUGGAAGCUGCAGCUCCAAUUCCCCUAGCCUGGGAACUUCCAUAUGUCACGGGUGCAGCCC
rnacentral:lncRNA from 1 species